UCAGAACUCACAUCUUGUCAGUUUCAACAUAAACCAUGUUCUCUGAAGCUCUGCUGCUGCUGUUGUUAGCUGGAUGUGUGAAGUGUGAGCAGUUGACCCAGCCAGCCUCUGUGACUGUGCAGCCAGGUCAACGUCUGACCAUCACCUGUCAGGUCUCUUAUUCUCUCAGCAGCUACUACACAGCUUGGAUCAGACAGCCUGCAGGGAAAGGACUGGAGUGGAUUGUAAGUGGACGUGUUGGAUCCACAACGUACUACAAAGAUUCACUGAAGAACAAGUUCAGUAUCAGCUUGGACUCUUCCAGCAACACAGUGACUCUAAAUGGACAGAAUGUGCAGCCUGAAGACACUGCUGUGUAUUACUGUGCCAGAGAGCCACAGUAACACAAACCAUCAGUAGACCUGA